rnacentral:rRNA from 1 species
AUUGAACGCUGGCGGCAGGCCUAACACAUGCAAGUCGAGCGGAUGACGGGAGCUUGCUCCUCGAUUCAGCGGCGGACGGGUGAGUAAUACCUAGGAAUCUGCCUGAUAGUGGGGGACAACGUCUCGAAAGGAACGCUAAUACCGCAUACGUCCUACGGGAGAAAGCAGGGGACCUUCGGGCCUUGCGCUAUCAGAUGAGCCUAGGUCGGAUUAGCUAGUUGGUGAGGGAAUGGCUCACCAAGGCGACGAUCCGUAACUGGUCUGAGAGGAUGAUCAGUCACACUGGAACUGAGACACGGUCCAGACUCCUACGGGAGGCAGCAGUGGGGAAUACUGGACAAUGGGCGAAAGCCUGAUUCAGCCAUGCCGCGUGUGUGAAGAAGGUCUUCGGAUUGUAAAGCACUUUAAGUUGGGAGGAAGGGCAGUAAGCUAAUACCUUGCUGUUUUGACGUUACCGACAGAAUAAGCACCGGCUAACUCUGUGCCAGCCGCCGCGGUAAAAC